AACCACAUAAGAAUUUAAAGAGAGAGGAAUCAGUUUUGAUUUUCUCUCUUUCAUUUCUCCAUCUUCCAAAUUUCUUCACUUGGUUACAAUCGGAGAAGGCGAGCAGAUCCAGAUUCCAACGAGGCUUAGAUAGUCGAAGAAUGUCAAAUCGAACAUGAAGCCAGCAGGAACAAACCAUGAACAACCAAUAACAAAUUGGAGUAGAGCCGCAUGGUCAACGCAAAGACCUAAGCGCUGGAAAUCAUAAUGAAAAGGCAUCCAAAUCCAAGAAAUAACCAG
rnacentral:lncRNA from 1 species